CCUACGGGGGGCAGCAGUUAGGAAUCUUCCGCAAUGGACGGAAGUCUGACGGAGCGACGCCGCUUGGAGGAGGAAGCCCUUCGGGGUGUAAACUCCUGAACUGGGGACGCGGUACCCAGGUAAUAGCGCCGGCCAACUCCGUGCCAGCAGCCGCGGUAAUACGGAGGGCGCGAGCGUUACCCGGAUUUACUGGGCGUAAAGGGCGUGUAGGCGGCCUGGGGCGUCCCAUGUGAAAGGCCACGGCUCAACCGUGGAGGAGCGUGGGAUACGCUCAGGCUAGAGGGUGGGAGAGGGUGGUGGAAUUCCCGGAGUAGCGGUGAAAUGCGCAGAUACCGGGAGGAACGCCGAUGGCGAAGGCAGCCACCUGGUCCACUCUGACGCUGAGGCGCGAAAGCGUGGGGAGCAAACCGGAUUAGAUACCCUUGUAGUC
rnacentral:rRNA from 1 species